rnacentral:rRNA from 1 species
AUGGGCCGAGGAGAUGCCUGCUUCCGACAUUUGGCCCAACAUUCUGCUCACCACCACCACUCACUCCAACAGCGCCGCCUCCAUUCCCCAUUGCUCCCCAUACCAAACCCUCGCCGUCACCUCCCUCCCCCUCCACCGGCGGCCAUGGAGACGGACCCGCGAGUGAUCAUCGGCCCCUCCGGGAGCGUCUCUAGGAGCGAUAUGCGCGCCGACCUUGAGCGCCGCGGCCAGGACCCUGAGUCGCUGGAUCUCGGCACCAACAUGAUGCUCCACAUCCUGUACGGCUACCUCCCGAAGCCGCCCGUCUCCCCCACCGCCACCAUCUCGCUCGCCGGCGCUUCCAGGGUCCCCGACGGCGUCGACCGCAUCAGCCGCCUCCCCGACGUGGUCCUCCUCGACAUCAUCUCCCGCCUCCCCGCCAAGGACGCCGCGCGCACCGCCGCCCUCGCCUCGCGCUGGCGCCCGCUCUGGCGCUCGGCUCCCCUUACUCUUGUCGACAGCCACCUGCUUCCGGACGGCGGCGCGUCCGGGCCUCUCAUCAUCGGCGCUCCCUCUCCCCGCGCCGUCACCGCCGCCGUGGCCAGCGCCCUCGCGGCGCAUCCGGGGCCCUUCCGCUGCGUCCACCUUACCUGCAGCACGAUGGAGGAGCACCGGGGCGAGCUAUCGCGCUGGCUCGACAUCCUCGUCGCCAAGGGGGUCAAAGAACUCGUCUUUGUCAACCGCCCUUGGCCGAUGGACCUGCGCCUCCCCGCCACGCUCUUCAGCUGCGCGUCCCUCACCCGCCUCUAUCUCGGCGUCUGGAGGCUCCCGGACACCACAGCCGUACCGCGCGGCGCCAGAUUCCCCAACCUCCUGGAGCUCGGCCUCUGCAUGAAUGUCAUGGAGGACCGUGAUCUAGCCUUCAUGCUGGAAAGAAGCCCCGUCCUGGAGUUUCUCCUUAUCAUGUGGAGCCAAACCGGAGUGCGCCUCCGCCUCGUCAGCCAAAGCCUGCGGUGUCUUCAACUGGCCCUUACCUGCUUGCAGUACAUCGACGUGGUGGAUGCACCUCGCCUCGAGAGGCUCUUCCAAUGGGAAACUGUUCCCAGGGCCGAGCCCACUCCCCCCGGCAACAAGAAACGCCCUUCCUGGAUCAAGAUUGGCCAUGCACCCAACCUGCGUGUGCUGGGAUACCUUGAGCCAGGAGGGCAGGAAUUGGCUGGGAGCAAGGAGAACAUUGUCCCUAGUGUCCAGAUUUUGGCCAUGGUGGUGCAGUUCGGUGUCCGCAGCACUGUGAAGAAAGUGCCUGGCUUCCUCAGAUGCUUCCCAAACCUGGAGACGCUCCAUGUCCAUUCCCCCACCUUAUCUGGAGAGCCCACUGGCAAGGUGAAUCUCAAGUUCUGGCAGGAGGAUGGUCCCAUCAAAUGCGUCCUUCAGAGCUUGAAGAAGCUGUUCUUCUAUGAGUUCCGAGGGUCGAGAAGCGAGGUUUCUUUCCUCAAGUUCAUCGCGGAGACAGGGCGGGUGCUGGAGCAGAUGGUGGUGGUGGUUGCUGUGGAAUGUUUCUCUCCGGGGGAUGAUGGUGUGAAUGCCAAGCUGAAGCCUCUGACGGGUGCGAAAUGGAACAGCAAAGCUUGCCAACUAGAGCUCUUCAAGAGCCCGCGCACUGGCGGGGGAGGUCCUGCUUACAGCACCAAGAUAGCUUCUUAUUUUGGGUUUGCCGACCCUUUUGAUCUCCAGUACUACUACAAAGCAGAAAGGAUCAUCCAUGUAAGUUAA